rnacentral:rRNA from 1 species
UACAGAGGCGGCAAGCGUUGUUCGGAAUUACUGGGCGUAAAGGGCGCGUAGGUGGCCUUCUUAGUCAGACGUGAAAUCCCCGGGCUUAACUCGGGAACUGCGUCUGAUACUGGAAGGCUUGAGUUCGGGAGAGGAAUGUGGAAUUCCAGGUGUAGCGGUGAAAUGCGUAGAUAUCCGGAGGAACACCGGUGGCGAAGGCGGCUUCCUGGACCGACACUGACGCUGAGGCGCGAAAGCUAGGGGAGCAAACGGG